rnacentral:rRNA from 1 species
UUAGCGGAAGUUUUCGGAUGGAAGCGGAUAUGACUUAGCGGCGGACGGGUGAGUAACGCGUGGAUAACCUGCCUCAUACAGGGGGAUAACAGUUAGAAAUGACUGCUAAUACCGCAUAAGCGCACAGGACCGCAUGGUCCGGUGUGAAAAACUCUGGUGGUAUGGGAUGGAUCCGCGUCUGAUUAGCUGGUUGGUGAGGUAACGGCCCACCAAGGCGACGAUCAGUAGCCGACCUGAGAGGGUGGCCGGCCACAUUGGGACUGAGACACGGCCCAAACUCCUACGGGAGGCAGCAGUGGGGAAUAUUGCACAAUGGGGGAAACCCUGAUGCAGCAACGCCGCGUGAGUGAAGAAGUAUUUCGGUAUGUAAAGCUCUAUCAGCAGGGAAGAAGAAAGACGGUACCUGACUAAGAAGCCCCGGCUAACUACGUGCCAGCAGCCGCGGUAAUACGUAGGGGGCAAGCGUUAUCCGGAUUUACUGGGUGUAAAGGGAGCGUAGACGGCUGUGCAAGUCUGAAGUGAAAGCCCGUGGCUCAACCGCGGAACUGCUUUGGAAACUGUAUAGCUUGAGUACUGGAGAGGCAGGCGGAAUUCCUAGUGUAGCGGUGAAAUGCGUAGAUAUUAGGAGGAACACCAGUGGCGAAGGCGGCCUGCUGGACAGAAACUGACGUUGAGGCUCGAAAGCGUGGGGAGCAAACAGGAUUAGAUACCCUGGUAGUCCACGCGGUAAACGAUGAAUGCUAGGUGUUGGGGAGCAAAGCUCUUCGGUGCCGUCGCNAACGCAGUAAGCAUUCCACCUGG